CUACACAUGCAGUCGAGCGGUAGAGAGAAGCUUGCUGCUCUUGUGAGCGGCAGAGGGGUGAGUAAUGCCAAUGACUCUGCCUGGGCCUGGGGGAUAACGUCCGGAACCGGAAACUGAUACCGCAACCGUCCGACCGCAAAAGACCAGGGACCUUCAGGCCCUGGCCUCUCACAUGAGCCUGUGUCCGAAUAGCUUUUUCUUGAGGUAGAGGCUCAGCCUCGCCACGAUCCCUAUCUGGUCUGAGACGAAGAUCAUUCCCACUGGAACUGAAACUGGGACCAGACCCCUACUCCAAGCGGCAGUGGGGAAUAUUGGACAAUGGGCGAAAGCCUGAUCCUGACGUGCCCCGGGUGUGAGUAAGGUCAUCGGAUUGUGAUUCACUUUCAGUUUCGAGGAAGGGGAAUUGCCUAAUGCUUAUCUGUUUUGACAUUGCCGUUACUCUAAGAACAGGCUAACUCUGUGCCCGUGCCCGCGGUAAUACUAAGGGUGAAGGCGUUAAUCUUAAUUACAGUUACGUAAACCGCGCGCGCGUGGUUUGUUAAGUUGGAUGUGAAAUCCCCGGGCUCAACCUGGGAACUGCAUUCAAAACUGACUAGAGUAUGGUUGAGUGGAGUAGAAUUCCAGGUGUAGCGGUGAAAUGCGUAGAUAUAGGAAGGAACACCAGUGGCGAAGGCGACCACCUGGACUAAUACUGACACUCAGGUGCGAAAGCGUGCGGAGCAAACAGGAUUAGAUACCCUGCUAGUCCACGCUGUAAACGAUGUCAACUAGCCGUUGGAAGCCUUGAGCUUUUAGUGGCGCAGCUAACGCAUUAACCUGACCGCCUGUGGAGUACGGCCGUAAGGUUAAAACUCAAAUGACUUGACGGGGGCCCGCACAUGCAGUGGAGCAUGUGGUAUAAUUCGAAGCAACGCGAAGAACCUUACC
rnacentral:rRNA from 1 species